UGUUUGUGAAGAUGCAAACUACUCGCACCUGGACAAAAAGACCCUAUGAAGCUGCACUAUUCCCUGGGAUUGGCUUUGGGCUUUUCCUACUCAGCUUAGGUAGAAAGCGAAGAAAGCCUCCUUCCGGAGGGGCCCGAGCCAUCAGUGAGAUACCACUCUGGAAGAGCUAGAAUUCUAACCUUGUGUCGGGACCUAUGGGCCAAGGGACAGUCUUAGGUAGACAGUUUCUAUGGGGCGUAGGCCUCCCAAAAGGUAAUAGAGGUGUGUAAAGGUUUCCUCGGGUCGGACGAAGAUUGGCCAUCGAUUGCAAAAGUAGAAAGGAGCUUGACUGCAAGACCCACCCGUCGAGCAGGGACGAAAGUCGGCCUUAGUGAUCCGAUGGUGCUGAGUGGAAAGGUCGUUGCUCAACGGAUAAAAGUUACUCUAAGGAUAACAGGUUGAUCUUUCCGAAGAGUUCACAUUGACGGGAAGGUUUGACACCUCGAUGUCGGCUCUUUGCCACUUGGGGUUGUAGUAUGUUCCAAGGGUUGGGUUGUUUGCCCAUUAAAGCGAUACAUGAGCUGGGUUCAGAAUGUCGUGAGACAUUUCGGUCCAUGUCCGGUGUAGGCAUUAGAGCAUUGAGAGGACCUUUCCCUAGUACGAGAGGACCGGAAAGGAUGCACCUCUGGUGUACUAGUUAUCGAAUCCACGGUAAACGCUGGGUAGCCAAGUGCAGAGCGGAUAACUGCUGAAAGCAUCUAAGUAGUAAGCCCACUCCAAGAUGAGUGCUCUCC
rnacentral:ncRNA from 1 species